AGCGAACGCUGGCGGCAGGCUUAACACAUGCAAGUCGAGCGGGCAUCCUUGUGGUGUCAGCGGCAGACGGGUGAGUAACGCGUGUGAACGUGCCCUUCGGUUCGUAAUAACUCAGGGAAACUUGAGCUAAUACCGGAUACGUGCGAGAGCAGAAAGGUUUAUCUGCCGAAGGAUCGGCCCGCGUCUGAUUAGCUAGUUGGUGAGGUUAUGGCUCACCAAGGCGACGAUCAGUAGCUGGUCUGAGAGGAUGAUCAGCCACACUGGGACUGAGACACGGCCCAGACUCCUACGGGAGGCAGCAGUGGGGAAUAUUGGACCAUGGGGGCAACCCUGAUCCAGCCAUGCCGCGUGAGUGAUGACGGCCUUAGGGUUGUAAAGCUCUUUUCUUCGGGACGAUAAUGACGGUACCGGAGGAAUAAGCCCCGGCUAACUUCGUG
rnacentral:rRNA from 1 species